AAGGUAAUUUUUAUAUAUUACUGUCAAGGUACUUUUUAUAACGAUAGGGUAAGACAUUCACGGGGUAAGCAAAAAAAAUAAGUUGCAGAACUGUAAAAUUGUUGCUAUGCUGAUUUAGACAUAGGCCACAUUUUUUUUUUUUUACAGGCC